rnacentral:rRNA from 1 species
UAGUCCACGCCGUAAACGAUGUCAAUUAGCCGUUGGGAGACUUGUUUUCUUAGUGGCGCAGCUAACGCGAUAAAUUGACCGCCUGGGGAGUACGGCCGCAAGGUUAAAACUCAAAUGAAUUGACGGGGGCCCGCACAAGCGGUGGAGCAUGUGGUUUAAUUCGAUGCAACGCGAAGAACCUUACCAGGUCUUGACAUCCUGCGAAUUUUCUAGAGAUAGAUUAGUGCCUUCGGGAACGCAGUGACAGGUGCUGCAUGGCUGUCGUCAGCUCGUGUCGUGAGAUGUUGGGUUAAGUCCCGCAACGAGCGCAACCCUCAUCCUAUUUUGCCAGCACGUUAUGGUGGGAACUAUUAGGAAACUGCCCGUGACAAGCGGGAGGAAGGCGGGGAUGACGUCAAAUCAGCACGGCCCUUACGGACUGGGCUACACACGUGCUACAAUGGUGACUACAACGAGUCGCAAACCUGCGAAGGUGAGCUAAUCUUUAAAAGUCAUCUCAGUUCGGAUUGG